GUACUCGCUUCGGCGGUACAUCUACUAAAACUGGAACGUUACAGAGAAGAUUAGCAUGGCCCUUGCCCAAGGAUGACACCCAAAGUCGUGAAGCGUUCCACAUAUUA